rnacentral:rRNA from 1 species
GGCCUAACACAUGCAAGUCGAGCGGUAGAGAGGUGCUUGCAUCUCUUGAGAGCGGCGGACGGGUGAGUAAUGCCUAGGAAUCUGCCUAGUGGUGGGGGAUAACGUUCGGAAACGGACGCUAAUACCGCAUACGUCCUACGGGAGAAAGCGGGGGAUCUUCGGACCUCGCGCCAUUAGAUGAGCCUAGGUCGGAUUAGCUAGUUGGUGAGGUAAUGGCUCACCAAGGCGACGAUCCGUAACUGGUCUGAGAGGAUGAUCAGUCACACUGGAACUGAGACACGGUCCAGACUCCUACGGGAGGCAGCAGUGGGGAAUAUUGGACAAUGGGCGAAAGCCUGAUCCAGCCAUGCCGCGUGUGUGAAGAAGGUCUUCGGAUUGUAAAGCACUUUAAGUUGGGAGGAAGGGUAGUAACCUAAUACGUUGCUACUUUGACGUUACCGACAGAAUAAGCACCGGCUAACUUCGUG